CCAUUGCAGUCGAGCGGAGAGAGGUAGCUUGCUACUGAUCUUAGCGGCGGACGGGUGAGUAAUGCUUAGGAAUCUGCCUAUUAGUGGGGGACAACAUUUCGAAAGGAAUGCUAAUACCGCAUACGUCCUACGGGAGAAAGCAGGGGAUCUUCGGACCUUGCGCUAAUAGAUGAGCCUAAGUCGGAUUAGCUAGUUGGUGGGGUAAAGGCCUACCAAGGCGACGAUCUGUAGCGGGUCUGAGAGGAUGAUCCGCCACACUGGGACUGAGACACGGCCCAGACUCCUACGGGAGGCAGCAGUGGGGAAUAUUGGACAAUGGGCGCAAGCCUGAUCCAGCCAUGCCGCGUGUGUGAAGAAGGCCUUAUGGUUGUAAAGCACUUUAAGCGAGGAGGAGGCUACUUUAGUUAAUACCUAGAGAUAGUGGACGUUACUCGCAGAAUAAGCACCGGCUAACUCUGUGCCAGCAGCCGCGGUAAUACAGAGGGUGCAAGCGUUAAUCGGAUUUACUGGGCGUAAAGCGCGCGUAGGCGGCUAAUUAAGUCAAAUGUGAAAUCCCCGAGCUUAACUUGGGAAUUGCAUUCGAUACUGGUUAGCUAGAGUGUGGGAGAGGAUGGUAGAAUUCCAGGUGUAGCGGUGAAAUGCGUAGAGAUCUGGAGGAAUACCGAUGGCGAAGGCAGCCAUCUGGCCUAACACUGACGCUGAGGUGCGAAAGCAUGGGGAGCAAACAGGAUUAGAUACCCUGGUAGUCCAUGCCGUAACGAUGUCUACUAGCCGUUGGGGCCUUUGAGGCUUUAGUGGCGCAGCUAACGCGAUAAGUAGACGCUGGGGAGUACGGUCGCAGACUAAACUCAAAUGAAUUGACGGGGGGGCCCGCCAACAAGCCGGGUGGGA
rnacentral:rRNA from 1 species